CAGCAGCCACGGUAAUACGUAGGGUCCGAGCGUUGUCCGGAAUUACUGGGCGUAAAGAGCUCGUAGGUGGUUUGUCGCGUUGUUCGUGAAAACUCACAACUCAAUUGUGGGCGUGCGGGCGAUACGGGCAGACUGGAGUACUGCAGGGGAGACUGGAAUUCCUGGUGUAGCGGUGGAAUGCGCAGAUAUCAGGAGGAACACCGGUGGCGAAGGCGGGUCUCUGGGCAGUAACUGACGCUGAGGAGCGAAAGCGUGGGGAGCGAACAGGAUUAGAUACCCGUGUAGUCCCUGUCUCUUAUAC
rnacentral:rRNA from 1 species